rnacentral:tRNA from 1 species
GAGGGUAUAGCUCAAGUGGUAGAGCGCAUGCUUAGCAUGCAAAAGAUCCUGGUUUCAAGCCCCAGUACCUCCU